UUCCUUGAGUUUUUGUUGUUUCUCUCUGUCUGUCUUUUCUAUCUGCUUUAUUUUCCUUUCUCUCUAAAUAGGAAAGAAAAAAAAAAAAAAAAAAGGCCACCAGAAAGAAACUAGUGGUGGCAUUUUCCAAAGCUUGCUGUCUGAUGUUCCACUCCAUGUAUUAAUCACUUCUAGAUAUCAGCUAUGACCUUUGCUCAACCAAUAUUGACUUAUUGUUUGAGAUGUCUCACACAAUGUUGAUUCCAAUUUAUAUUUUAAAAUACUAAGACACUGUCUGCAUAAACAAACUUCCUUUUGUUUAAGCGAGCUUCAUAUUAAGAAGAUUUCAAACUUGCUGAUACAUAGUAGCUAAGGAUCUUUGCCACUGUGGAAAUCUAAUAGGCAUUGUGGGGUUUUGUUACAGGUAUGUAGGCUACCGCCAAACAAAUUGUUGGAUGAACUAGCUUUGAAAUGGUCUUCAUUUCGACUCGGACUGCUAUUAAAAACGGAUGAAUUAAUGAUAUCCCAAGUCGGCCUUGUUGGUCACUAAUGAUUGCCUUUCGCCUACCCUUUCAUCUACAACCAACGUCGAAUGACCUUCGAUUUCAGAUAGGAAAACAUAUUGAAGUUUUAUGUAGCAGUUUGAGAACAUACAAGCACAAUUGCAGCAGCAGGAAUUAGAAACAACUCAACUCUAGGGACGUCAUAUUUGCCACAACCUUCCAACUCCAUUCAAUACAUCCAAAUUAGGGUGAAAAUCACCUACUCUCCUGGCAAUCAUUGAAGCAGUUAACAGAAAACUGGAUAAGGUGAUCACUGAAGGAGAUCUGCACAUCUCAAAGAUUUUGUAAAUUCAUCCCAUCACUGACCACAUAUCAUCUGUACUGAAAAAGACAUUGGUUGCCAAACCGAUUUUGAAUUAAUGAUAACCCAAGUAAGUCGGUUGCCCCUGGUCGUAUUAUGUCUUUUGCGAAUCACCUGGCCUUCCAUCUCCUACCACCAAUGUUGGAUGACCUUGAAUUCUCAGGGGAUUAUUUCCUUUGAUAUUUGUUCCUUCUCUCUACGUAUUAUAUUUGUUUUCCCCUUUCUUUCUAAGUUCCUGUAACAGACGACGGCACAUCUAAAGGUGAGAGUUUGGGAGGAUGCCGUUGCUAGGGAUCGAGAUCUGAAGAUGGGUUCGAGAGGAAAGCAAGCACAAGGGUAACACGUGAAGAAGGGACUUCUGGUGGGAAAGUACUUAGUUGCUGUGUACUUGUUCCGAGGCUGGGCCCUCAAGAAGAUCCUGAUGGGUUACGGUUCCAGCGCCCAACGCCCAUAGUUAUCUUUUCUUACUUACAUUUAUGGUUCAUAGAAGUCUGAGAAGACUAGUUGCAACUAAGUAAGUGAGUUGUUUUUAUUUUCUUGUUUUUAUUUCAUCUGUAAGUGUCAAUUGUCAGGCCCAUGGCCUCAUCCUUGUCUAAUUUCUGGAGGCGCUCCCCUGAAUACAGCUACUCUCCCUGUCACAGUUCAGUUUAUUUUUUUUGUGGAAAAUAUUAGUAUGCCUCGUAAA